GGCCUAGACCCUUUUCCUCAAAAGUGUCAAAUUCACCAAUGGCUUCCUUAAGCUUGGCCUUUUGUUUCUCUGACAAAUCAUGGGGCUUCAAUUUAUACUCUAUAUUAGUUUCGGCUAAGUCUUUAACAAUUUUCUCCACAUUUAGUUCGGCCACACCUAAUAUAUUAGGGGCAAGUCCAAAGUUUCGCCAGAAGUCUAUUCCCAAGUAGAGUUCUUGCUCCAAAUCGGGGCACAUAUACAAAAUCAUUUCCUUCACGCAAUCAUUAUACUUCACUUGACAUAAAAUCUUUCCUAUUAUUCUAUAAUUGUCGCCGCUGGCGGUAGAAACGUUAUUAAAGAUUGGCAUUAACUCUAUCUGUGAAUCUUCAACGAAUUCUCUGCAUCUCUUCCCCAUAAUACUAACAGAUGCACCAGUAUCUAAUAAUCCUUUUAAAGCUUUGUCUCCUAUUUCUACUUCGGCGUAAACCCUUGGGUCGCCUACUUUACUUAUCGCCCUGUGAACAGACUCCACCAAAAAGCGUUUAUUUUUGCGCUUUUCGGCUGAUUUCUGACGUAACUUUAAAAUUCUUUUUGAUAAUGGUUUGGGGCUGGAUUCUGAACCAAAAAUUCUGGCUCGCACCUGCGCAUAAUUGUGCCGUCUUAUUUCUAUGGGAAGGUAAUGUCUCUUUUGGGGGAAAAAUUGUUUGCCAUCGACAUCUAAAUCUUGUUUCCCCUUAUCACUUCCAUCUUCAGAUACUUUGCGGGGUAAUAUAGUCAUAUGGUCUAUUUGCCUGGAUUCUCCGAGGGACGCGGUUCCCCGAUCUUCUCCACGCCCCUUCUGUGGUUUCCCUGCUGACAAUUCGGACAUUUCGGAGUGAUCGUGUUGGGCUUACCACACCUGUAACAAAAUAAUGCCCUCUCAGAAGACGGGCAAUCCAUAAAAACAUGACCUCCCUCACGGCAAUUCCAGCAUACUAACUGCCUGGUUUGUUGUUGCUGGUUAAAGCGAAUAGCAGCCACUUCUUCUACAUCCGGCUGAAAAUCUGUCUCCAAUCUACCAUAUUCGCCAACAUACAUUUCAUUUACGUGUCUAGCGGGGCGCGAAUUCAUUUGGAUUGGCCUUUGUUCUCUACGUGGAAAGUUACGUUCUGCCUCCUUACACUCUGUUCGAAGCAUCUCGACCGUAGAAAUAGACAUGGGCUGGGCCAUAUUAUGAAAAUAAACGUCUAUUGGCUCAUUUACCACCUGCUUCCUGUCGACUAACUCUCUCAUUGCUUCGAAAGUGGAUUUAGUUGUCCUAUAUUGACACAUUAAUGCCUCUCUUAAAUGGGACCAGCUGGAAAAAUUCUUCAGCCUCUGAGCAUACCAAAACCACUCCAAAGCUGGACCGGAAACUAACAAUCUAAAAUCCCGUAGAACUUCCUCCCAAGGUAUACCAUACUGGGUCUGCAAACAUUCUAACCGGAAGAUAAAUUCCUCAACAGUCAAUCGUUAAUUCGGAAAAGAAUUGUUACUAUUGGCGGAAGGCAUCGUAAAUCUAGGCCUAUUAGUGGACGAGGUACUGGACGCGUCAUUUCGUGUGUCAACUCCAGUAUUACCACCGACAGAUGAAUUGUCAUUGGCUUCGGUCCUCUGUAACGCCAUAGCCGGGGCCCUAUCUUGAAUCACCAUGUUGGACAAGUCCCUCACUGUUCUGGCUAGUGACUCCACGGUCCUCCUGACAUCACGCAACUCAUUGCCUAUCAUAGCCUUCAUAGUUUCCUCGAAAGACCGAUUUGCUGGCAUUAAACCUGCUGCUUCAGCGUUUGAAGUAUUAUUUGGCCCCUGUUGCAUUGCCUCACUAGUGGAAGGUGGGACAGGGACACCGUUUGAUGGACCGGGUCGAGAUAUAAUACUGCCAGACAAAUCCCGAAUCUGACC